UCGCGACCGGGUGUCGUGAGGCCUCGGUCCGCUCGGCUAUCGCACGCCUGGUGCACCUUCCCCGGCAUCAGGACGCGACGGGCGGGCGGGGACCUGACGGAACCCGGUCUCUGGGGG
rnacentral:ncRNA from 1 species